rnacentral:misc_RNA from 1 species
CAGCGCACACAGGAUAUCGAUUUGCAUCGACGCCUCCGUGUCCCGUCUCUCCUCUCUCCCGCCGCCCGCCGCGUCGUCCCGUUCCACCAUGGUCAUGGUUUAACAGCGGCGUUCCAUUAUUGCGGCCCGAACGCAACAGGGUACAACGCGCAUCAUGUGAGCUGGGUCCUUGCAGCUGCAACCACCUUCCCGUUCCCAGCAGGCAACCCAAAACAGAAAUACAGGUGCUACGCUGCAAUCCUCUGCAAGUACAAAACAGAAAUACAGACUACAACUAGUAGUGUAGUGUUCAACUCAGCUGAUUCAGGAAGCAUCACACCACAUGAGCAGAACUGCAGAAGAACCCAGACCCCGUUGCUAUUCUCAGUAGAAUGAGAUCAACACUCAGAAAUCUGAAUCCCGUGUACCUGCACCUGCAGGGCUAGAAGAAGAAAAAAUUAUCUUGCAAUGCUAAUACAGCUGUUUCGAUACUCCUUUUUCACAUCCCUUGUUGCAGGAAAUCAUUCAUUCAGAUUUCAUAUUGGUGACUAAGGGGAUGAAUGAUGAUGCUCCCAAAACAACCAAGGCCCUGCUUCUGUUUGAAUGAAAAGUUUUUUUUAAAAAAAAAGAUACCAUGUUUUGUGAAAUGUUUUGAUUGGAGAGUGGCUUCAAGUGUUUGGAUCAAACCUUUUGGUUUUGAAUACCAUGGUGUUGCUAAAAAGUAGUCUUUCUUAGACCUGUUUUUUUUCUUCAAUCACAGUUCUGCACAUCAAUGGUUCUAGAGCUAUAAAUUCUU